rnacentral:rRNA from 1 species
CAGGGAUUGCCCCAGUAACGGCGAGUGAAGCGGCAACAGCUCAAAUUUGAAAUCUGGCCCUUGGGUCCGAAUUGUAAUUUGCAGAGGAUGCUUUUGGCGCGGCGCCUUCCGAGUUUCCUGGAACGGAACGCCAUAGAGGGUGAGAGCCCCGUCCGGUUGGAUGCCUAGCCUAUGUAAAGCUCCUUCGACGAGUCGAGUAGUUUGGGAAUGCUGCUCUAAAUGGGAGGUACAUGUCUUCUAAAGCUAAAUAUUGGCCAGAGACCGAUAGCGCACAAGUAGAGUGAUCGAAAGAUGAAAAGCACUUUGAAAAGAGGGUUAAACAGUACGUGAAAUUGUUGAAAGGGAAGCGUUUAUGACCAGACUUGGGCCCGGUUAAUCAUCCAGCGUUCUCGCUGGUGCACUUGGCCGGCCCAGGCCAGCAUCAGUUCGUCGCGGGGGAUAAAGGUUUCGGGAACGUGGCUCCCUCGGGAGUGUUAUAGCCCGUUGCGUAAUACCCUGCCUCGGACUGAGGUUCGCGCAUCUGCAAGGAUGCUGGCGUAAUGGUCAUCAAUGACCCGUCUUGAAACACGGACCAAGGAGUCGUCUUCGUAUGCGAGUGUUCGGGUGUCAAACCCCUACGCGUAAUGAAAGUGAACGCAGGUGAGAGCUUCGGCGCAUCAUCGACCGAUCCUGAUGUUCUCGGAUGGAUUUGAGUAAGAGCAUACGGGGCCGGACCCGAAAGAAGGUGAACUAUGCCUGUAUAGGGUGAAGCCAGAGGAAACUCUGGUGGAGGCUCGCAGCGGUUCUGACGUGCAAAUCGAUCGUCAAAUAUGGGCAUGGGGGCGAAAGACUAAU